rnacentral:rRNA from 1 species
UACGAAGGGGGCUAGCGUUGUUCGGAAUCACUGGGCGUAAAGCGCACGCAGGCGGAUCGUUAAGUUAGAGGUGAAAGCCCGGGGCUCAACCCCGGAAUUGCCUUUAAGACUGCAUCGCUUGAAUCCGGGAGAGGUGAGUGGAAUUCCGAGUGUAGAGGUGAAAUUCGUAGAUAUUCGGAAGAACACCAGUGGCGAAGGCGGCUCACUGGACCGGUAUUGACGCUGAGGUGCGAAAGCGUGGGGAGCAAACAGG